rnacentral:sRNA from 1 species
ACUAAGUAACAAAUGACAAGAUGCAGUAAACAAUAGUAGAGUAAACAAAGAAAUCAAUUAGAUAAAGAAUUCCCGAGGAUGGGGUAAUUGAGUAGUUUUGUUUCCUCAGUUUACAGAGGUGAUUGACAUGCUCAAUAAAUUAUCCCUAGAUAACAAGUUCGGUAACCAAAUCUAAGUGCCACCGCAACAGAGACCCUCAAGUUAAACUAGUCCCAAACUCAAUCAGCAUUGACGAGAGCUAACCUAACAGGCAUUACGAAUCAACAAGUUAAAGCCAAAACGCUCCCUGCAACCAAUACCUAGGUACAUAGCCACAAAU